GCCAGCAGCCAUAUCACCCUGCAACUCACAACCGGUAACCCACUGAAGCUAAGCAGGUGUGAGCCUGGUCAGUACCUGGAUGUGAGACCACCUGGGAAAAACUAAGGUUGCUGCUAGAA
ensembl:rRNA 5S_rRNA 5S ribosomal RNA